rnacentral:rRNA from 1 species
AUUGAACGCUGGCGGCAGGCCUAACACAUGCAAGUCGAGCGAGCGGCGGACGGGUGAGUAAUGUCUGGGAAACUGCCCGAUGGAGGGGGAUAACUACUGGAAACGGUAGCUAAUACCGCAUACUAUCAGAUGUGCCCAGAUGGGAUUAGCUAGUAGGUGGGGUAAAGGCUUACCUAGGCGACGAUCCCUAGCUGGUCUGAGAGGAUGAUCAGCCACACUGGAAAUGAGACACGGUCCAGACUCCUACGGGAGGCAGCAGUGGGGAAUAUUGCACAAUGGGCGCAAGCCUGAUGCAGCCAUGCCGCGUGUGUGAAGAAGGCCUUCGGGUUGUAAAGCACUUUCAGCGGGGAGGCGUGACCCACAGAAGAAGCACCGGCUAACUCCGUGCCAGCAGCCGCGGUAAUAC